AAUAUUGGACAAUGGGGGCAACCCUGAUCCAGCCAUGCCGCGUGUGUGAAGAAGGUCUUCGGAUUGUAAAGCACUUUAAGUUGGGAGGAAGGGCUUUAGGCUAAUACCCUGAAGUUUUGACGUUACCACCAGAAUAAGCACCGACUAACUCUGUGCCAGCAGCCGCGGGAAUAAAGAGUGUGCAAGCUGUAAUCGGAAUUACAGGGCGUAAAGCGGUCGUAGGUGGUUCAGUAAGAUGGGUGUGAAAUCCCCGGGCUUAACCUGGGAACUGCUUUCAUAACUGCUGAGCUAGAGUACGGUAGAGGGUAGUGGAAUUUCCUGUGUAGCGGUGAAAUGCGUAGAUAUAGGAAGGAACACCAGUGGCGAAGGCGACUACCUGGACUGAUACUGACACUGAGGUGCGAAAGCGUGGGAGCAAAC
rnacentral:rRNA from 1 species